rnacentral:rRNA from 1 species
CCUACGGGAGGCAGCAGUGAGGAAUAUUGGUCAAUGGAGGCAACUCUGAACCAGCCAAGUAGCGUGCAGGAUGACGGCCCUAUGGGUUGUAAACUGCUUUUAUAAGGGAAUAAAGUGAGCCUCGUGAGGCUUUUUGCAUGUACCUUAUGAAUAAGGACCGGCUAAUUCCGUGCCAGCAGCCGCGGUAAUAAGG